GACAACCGCAGGCUUGUUCUGGUCUCUCCUGGUCCCCGCCCGAUGUGCCUUGAUCCCCUGCUGACUUCACUCUGUAAUCUCUUCGCAGAAGAAACUUGUAAUUACUGGGCCGCAUGGUAUGCAUCUGUAUACUGUUGCUGAAUAUUGCCAGUUUCUCCUCCAUCAGAACUCUUGGGCCGUUUGGCCCGCCUACCAGCAAGGCACUGGAAACCCAACAACGAACUUACUUUCCUACCUGAGGGAGCUAAUGAAGAAGGAAAUCACAUUAUUUUUCUGAUUCCGGCUGAAAGAUUCUCCCUAAAAGAAUAUACUCUUGGUUUACAUGAUUUUCUCCAUGCUUCCAUCUCUGAUAUCUGGAAAUUUGAGGUCAUCCCUCCUAAUGAGUCAA